UAUUUCAUUCUCAAUGGAAUGUACGCAUUACCUGGGCUGCCAGUCGAGAAAAUAUCGCCCAUGUCUUCGAGUAAACUCGAGCUCUCUGGUCAUUUGUGAUAAAGAACUAGAAGCCAAUAUUUCUUCAUCCCGACGUCUCUUGAGUUUGGACUGCGGCAAUCUAGCCAUGCCCAAGUGGAAAAUAUUUCUCAUCCCCAAUGUUGUGAAGUUUUGACUAGGGCACUCUGGCCAAAACUUGGAUCUAUCUUGCAUGAGUCUCUUCCGAAUCAGGUAAAGUGAUUUUCUGUGCAUCCGCCCAUGACAUAACCUUGGACGAUAGAAUUGCGCGCAUACUAAUUUCAUAUGGACCUUGAUCAUCCGUGAUUGAUUUGCGCACCAUUCCUCAUGAUUUCUGUGUCACGUGCUGGUGGCAUGUAGAUUAUAGUCAACAAUUGAUUGUUCACAUAGUCCUGCUUACAAACCAGAGACCUCUAUAAUUUGAUUUUUUUACGGAACUCUAUGAUUUAAGUAUUGUGCGUUGUCCAUGUACAAAAGCAUAGGUUUCAUUAAUUAGAUCAAAAUUUAUGAUUCAUAGAUCUCAUUUUCACAUCUCAAGAACGAUAAUCUUAUUUGCAGAAUAUUAGAGCAAAAAUGCGUUUAUAUUUUUGAAAGAAAGACUGAUGUGGUACAGUCUAUUAAGAGGCCAUGUUUUUUUUUCAGUUACUAUACUGCCAUGAAGUAUUCUGAAGUUGCUGGGAUCUUCAUAUGAUAGUUCUCCUUCGAAGUUACUGGGAUAUUUUACAGUCUAUAGGAUGGCAAUGAACUUGGGAUUUCUAUGUGCAAUAUAGCUCCUUUUUUUCUCUGAUGAUUGGUCCCUAAA